UACGGAAGGCAGCAGUGGGGAAUAUUGCACAAUGGGCGCAAGCCUGAUGCAGCCAUGCCGCGUGUAUGAAGAAGGCCUUCGGGUUGUAAAGUACUUUCAGUCGUGAGGAAGGUGUUAAGGUUAAUAACCUUAGCAAUUGACGUUAGCGACAGAAGAAGCACCGGCUAACUCCGUGCCAGCAGCCGCGGUAAUACGGAGGGUGCGAGCGUUAAUCGGAAUUACUGGGCGUAAAGGGCACGCAGGCGGUUAAUUAAGUUGGAUGUGAAAUCCCCGGGCUUAACCUGGGAAUGGCAUUCAAGACUGGUUAGCUAGAGUCUUGUAGAGGGGGUAGAAUUCCAUGUGUAGCGGUGAAAUGCGUAGAGAUGUGGAGGAAUACCGGUGGCGAAGGCGGCCCCUGGGACAAAGACUGACGCUCAUGUGCGAAGCGUGGGGAGCAAACAGGGAUUAGAUACC
rnacentral:rRNA from 1 species